UAGGGAAUCUUCNNNAAUGGGCGCAAGCCUGAUGGAGCAACACCGCGUGAGUGAAGAAGGGUUUCGGCUCGUAAAGCUCUGUUGUUAAAGAAGAACACGUAUGAGAGUAACUGUUCAUACGUUGACGGUAUUUAACCAGAAAGUCACGGCUAACUACGUGCCAGCAGCCGCGGUAAUACGUAGGUGGCAAGCGUUAUCCGGAUUUAUUGGGCGUAAAGAGAGUGCAGGCGGUUUUCUAAGUCUGAUGUGAAAGCCUUCGGCUUAACCGGAGAAGCGCAUCGGAAACUGGAUAACUUGAGUGCAGAAGAGGGUAGUGGAACUCCAUGUGUAGCGGUGGAAUGCGUAGAUAUAUGGAAGAACACCAGUGGCGAAGGCGGCUACCUGGUCUGCAACUGACGCUGAGACUCGAAAGCAUGGGUAGCGAACAGGAUUAGAUACCCUGGUAGUCCAUGCCGUAAACGAUGAGUGCUAGGUGUUGGAGGGUUUCCGCCCUUCAGUGCCGGAGCUAACGCAUUAAGCACUCCGCCUGGGGAGUACGACCGCAAGGUUG
rnacentral:rRNA from 1 species